rnacentral:rRNA from 1 species
GUAUGUACAUCCAAUAUAACUAAUUCAAAAAAAAUUCUAAAUAUUAAUUACAAACAAAUCCUAAGAAAAAAUAAAAUAAAUAAAAAAUUCUAAAAGUGGCUAACUUUUUCUAAAAUAUAAAUUGCACCUUGACUUGAAUUUAAUAAAAGAAUUAAAAAGAUAAAAUAAUAAAAAAUCAUCAAAACAGAGGUAUACAAAUUAAUAAGAAAAGAAAAAUUAAACGAGGAUUAUCGAUUACAAAGCAAGCCCCUUUAAAAAGUAAUUGAACCGCCAAAAAUCUUGGGUUUAAAGAAAAACUUUUAAUACCCUAAAAAAUUAUAAAAGGGUAUCUAAUCCUUGUUUCAAAAAAACUCAAGAAAGAAAACAUAAAAAUAAGAAACAAAAUAAAAUUUCACCUUUAAUUUAAAAUUUUAAUAAAAUAAAUCAUUUUCUAAAACAUAUCUAUAAUUCUAAUCGUAUA